CAGUCGCCACGGUAAUACGAAGGGUGCAAGCGUUACUCGGAAUUACUGGGCAUAAAGCGUGCGUAGGUGGUGGUUUAAGUCCGUUGUGAAAGCCCUGGGCUCAACCUGGGAAUUGCAGUGGAUACUGGGUCACUAGAGUGUGGUAGAGGAUAGUGGAAUUUCCGGUGUAGCAGUGAAAUGCGUAGAGAUCGGAAGGAACAUCUGUGGCGAAGGCGACUAUCUGGGCCAACACUGACACUGAGGCACGAAAGCGUGGGGAGCAAACAGGAUUAGAUACCCCCGUAGUCCCUGUCUCUUAUAC
rnacentral:rRNA from 1 species